rnacentral:lncRNA from 1 species
AUCUCUCUGUACAACCUCUCUUUUCAUGGCUUCACACUCCCCUACCCUCCAUCUCUAGAGGUGCGUAAAAUCGUACCAUGGAUCGCAGACUGCAUAGAAUCGCAUUGCAAGAUGGAGUCGUGGGGCUAUAAUACAGAGGAUGGAUGGUCGGGCAACAUGAAACCGCAUCAAGUUGUAUAGAGCUCGGAUAAAUGGUGAGGC